rnacentral:misc_RNA from 2 species
AAAUUAUCAACCAUGACUUGGGUUUAGGCCCUCGUUCUUGGCUUGGAUUUGGGUGCUUGCGGUCUUGUGCUGCUCACCUUAAAAGGAUUAGCUGGACAUGUCUUUUGACUUGGUUCUACUUGGCGUAAUAAGUAUUUCGCUGAGGACAUCCCUUCUGGGGUGGCCAAGACUCUGGCAAACGUCUGCUUUCUAACUCGACUGUCCUCGGACAUCACUUUUUAUG